rnacentral:rRNA from 1 species
CCUACGGGGUGCAGCAGUGGGGAAUAUUGGGCAAUGGGCGCAAGCCUGACCCAGCAACGCCGCGUGAAGGAAGAAGGCUUUCGGGUUGUAAACUUCUUUUCUGAGGGACGAAGAAAGUGACGGUACGUCAGGGAUACGCCACCGCUAACUACGUGCGAGCAGCCGCGGUAAUACGUAGGUGGCAAGCGUUAUCCGGAUUUAUUGGGUGUAAAGGGCGUGUAGGCGGGAAAGCAAGUCAGAUGUGAAAACUCAGGGCUCAACCCUGAGCCUGCCUUUGAAACUGUGUUUCUUGAGUGCUGGAGAGGCAAGCGGAAUUCCGUGUGUAGCGGUGAAAUGCGUAGAUAUACGGAGGAACACCAGUGGCGAAGGCGGAUUGCUGGACAGUAACUGACGCUGAGGCGCGAAAGCGUGGGGAGCAAACAGGAUUAGAUACCCGAGUAGUC